ACUUCCCUUUUUCCGGUCCGCCGGAUUAUGAAUGACGGCCGGCGCGAGUAUUUUCCACAUAAACUGGCUGUCGUUUUUCUCCUGGCCUCUGUGGAGGCGAGUGGUCUGCGGGCAGCAGCUCCCAGAGGCAGCCUUGGAAUUCCAGCUCGGGCUGGGCGGGAAGGCGCAGGCGGCCCAGGUCGCCGACACGCUCACGCACCCUCCCUGCCUGGCCGCGCCUCUGCGACCAGGUGACCCAAUGAAAGAAGAAAAUGAAAGCCAUAAAGAAAAGUCUUACAGAAGAAGAAUACCUGUACCUGGACUUUUCUCACCAAACAAAAGGAUGCAUCUUUCCUCUUCAUACAUCUGUAACUUUAUUUCUGUUAUCUUACUGUGACUGUAAAAUCUUUAAAAUUUGCUUAGUUGUCACCAAAGAAGUGAGUAGAGAUAGUUCACUACUAAGAGAUGACCUGAUCCAGGAUGUUGAAAUACAGAUUAUUUCAAGGCAGGAGCUCCCACCAAUAGUCCAAAAUUGCUGUUUGCCUGCAGUAGUAGAACGAUCAGACAAUUUUUGUAGAGCAGGACUUGCUGUUGUAUUGAGACACAUAAUCCAGAAAUCCUAUGAAGCAGACCCCUUAAAGAAGGAACUUUUGGAACUUCUGGGCUUUAAAAAGACUUGCUUGAAAGCCUGUGCUGAAGUUAGUCAGUGGACCAGGCUAUGUGAACUCACCAUCCCUUUGGCUAUUGAGAAUUUUCUCAGAGAAUCUUCUGACCAGCCCCCAACUAUACCUGUAGAAAUACUACAGCUAGAGAAAAAGCUUAGUGAGCCUGUUAGAGUGCAUAAUGAUGAUAAACUCCGCAGGCAGAAGCUCAAGCAACAGAAGGCUGAUGGAGUUGGGCCUCCCCUUACUAAGGGAAAGGCAAAGAGCAAGGUCCACACACAGGAAACAUCUGAAGGGUUGGAUUCUUCAUCCGAGAGUUUGGAACUGAAAGUGGCAUUCUCAAAGCUCACAGUACAGGAAGAACCAGCUACUACCAACAGAGAGCCUUCUCAUAUCAGAAAAGCAAAAGCCUCCGACCUUCCACCUCUGGAGCAUGUGUUUGCAGAAGGGCUUUACUUCACUCUGGCAGAUAUUGUGCUCUUGCCCUGUAUCCAUCAUUUCUUGGUAAUUAUCAGCAGGAAAUUUUCUGAGAAGCUGGUAGAAUUUCCAUUGCUAGCCUCUUGGUACCAGAGGAUUCAGGAAGUGCCAGGAGUAAAAACAGCAGCUUCUAAGUGUGGGAUCCAAUUUCUCCAUUUACCAAAAUUGUUGACAACCUCAACUGAACAGCAUCCAAACUUAUGUGAAGUCCCAGGUGUAGAAGAGCAAAGCGAUCCUUUAUUUAUAGGAGGACCAAGACCAACCAUGGCCAAGUUAAUGGAAGAGGGCAUUGAAGUGAUGUUUUCUCCCCACCCUUGCCCUACUUGGACUCUUGAUUGGAAUGUUCUCCCUGCAGCAGUCAGCCCAAAGGAAGGUAAAAUGUCCAGUGAUCGAGCUUUGAGGAAGCAGCAACAGUUGAACAACCUUGUCUAUGUGGUAACAAAUCAGGCCAAACCUGGUGACAGAAUUGUGGAUUUCUGCAGCGGUGGGGUAUUUUAUCUCUCCUUUCAUCCUUUUUAGUCUUUCUAAGAUUAUGAGACUUUUCUAUAUUACAUUCAAGGUCAUGUUUUUAUUUGGCAAGAUUGUGGUUUCAGAAUGAGGAAAAGCUGUGGGGACCAAAACUAACUUGUUUGUCUUACUGACUUUUUCAGGGCCAUGUUGGAAUUGUCCUUGCUCACAUGCUGCCAUCAUGUCAGGUAAAGCCAGAAUAAGAGAUAAAAGGAAAUAUUUUAAAAUUAUACAGUUCAGCUAGCCAAAUUUGGUUUAUCCCGCUCUUGGAGUUUCUAAUCACUCACCCAAGUCAAAUAUGUGGCACAGGCAUUGUCUUUUCUUUGAAAUAAACUUCCAAGACUUAGAAUCUUAAGGAAAGAAAAGUAAAGUAAGAUCAUAAAACAGUUACCAAUUUUUGAAAGAGGUUUAUAGGUUUAAGUAAUUUUUCAAAGAAGUAGCUAUUUUAUUGCUAAAUAAAAUAGUUAUGAUUCAACUAGUUUAAUUUUCAAUAUAAUUUUAAAUGGAAAUAUUGACCUCUGAAACUUGCUGAGCAUGUUCUUUUGGUAUCUUGAUUUUGAUCCAUUGCAUCAAAAUUAUAACAAUAGCAAAAUUUUUUAAAGC
rnacentral:sRNA from 1 species